UACGUAGGGUGCGAGCGUUGUCCGGAAUUAUUGGGCGUAAAGAGCGUGUAGGCGGCUUGGCAAGUCUGCUGUGAAAACUCGAGGCUCAACCUCGAGCUGUCGGCGGAAACUGCUUGGCUAGAGUCCGGAAGAGGAGAGUGGAAUUCCUGGUGUAAGCGGUGAAUGCGCAGAUAUCAGGAAGAACACCUAUGGCGAAGGCAGCUCUCUGGGACGGUACUGACGCUGAGAGCGAAAGCGUGGGGAGCGAACAGG
rnacentral:rRNA from 1 species